rnacentral:rRNA from 1 species
AUACGUAGGUGGCAAGCGUUGUCCGGAAUUAUUGGGCGUAGAGCGCGCGCAGGCGGUCCUUUAAGUCUGAUGUGAAAGCCCACGGCUCAACCGUGGAGGGUCAUUGGAAACUGGGGGACUUGAGUGCCGAAGAGGAAAGUGGAAUUCCAAGUGUAGCGGGGAAAUGCGUAGAGAUUUGGAGGAACACCAGUGGCGAAGGCGACUUUCUGGUCUGUAACUGACGCUGAGGCGCGAAAGCGUGGGGAGCAAACAGGAUUAGAUACCCUGGUAGUCCACGCCGUAAACGAUGAGUGCUAAGUGUUAGGGGGUUUCCGCCCCUUAGUGCUGCAGCUAACGCAUUAAGCACUCCGCCUGGGGAGUACGGUCGCAAGACUGAAACUCAAAUGAAUUGACGGGG